UGCAAGUCGAACGAACUCUGGUAUUGAUUGGUGCUUGCAUCAUGAUUUACAUUUGAGUGAGUGGCGAACUGGUGAGUAACACGUGGGAAACCUGCCCAGAAGCGGGGGAUAACACCUGGAAACAGAUGCUAAUACCGCAUAACAACUUGGACCGCAUGGUCCGAGUUUGAAAGAUGGCUUCGGCUAUCACUUUUGGAUGGUCCCGCGGCGUAUUAGCUAGAUGGUGGGGUAACGGCUCACCAUGGCAAUGAUACGUAGCCGACCUGAGAGGGUAAUCGGCCACAUUGGGACUGAGACACGGCCCAAACUCCUACGGGAGGCAGCAGUAGGGAAUCUUCCACAAUGGACGAAAGUCUGAUGGAGCAACGCCGCGUGAGUGAAGAAGGGUUUCGGCUCGUAAAACUCUGUUGUUAAAGAAGAACAUAUCUGAGAGUAACUGUUCAGGUAUUGACGGUAUUUAACCAGAAAGCCACGGCUAACUACGUGCCAGCAGCCGCGGUAAUACGUAGGUGGCAAGCGUUGUCCGGAUUUAUUGGGCGUAAAGCGAGCGCAGGCGGUUUUUUAAGUCUGAUGUGAAAGCCUUCGGCUCAACCGAAGAAGUGCAUCGGAAACUGGGAAACUUGAGUGCAGAAGAGGACAGUGGAACUCCAUGUGUAGCGGUGAAAUGCGUAGAUAUAUGGAAGAACACCAGUGGCGAAGGCGGCUGUCUGGUCUGUAACUGACGCUGAGGCUCGAAAGUAUGGGUAGCAAACAGGAUUAGAUACCCUGGUAGUCCAUACCGUAAACGAUGAAUGCUAAGUGUUGGAGGGUUUCCGCCCUUCAGUGCUGCAGCUAACGCAUUAAGCAUUCCGCCUGGGGAGUACGGCCGCAAGGCUGAAACUCAAAGGAAUUGACGGGGGCCCGCACAAGCGGUGGAGCAUGUGGUUUAAUUCGAAGCUACGCGAAGAACCUUACCAGGUCUUGACAUACUAUGCAAAUCUAAGAGAUUAGACGUUCCCUUCGGGGACAUGGAUACAGGUGGUGCAUGGUUGUCGUCAGCUCGUGUCGUGAGAUGUUGGGUUAAGUCCCGCAACGAGCGCAACCCUUAUUAUCAGUUGCCAGCAUUAAGUUGGGCACUCUGGUGAGACUGCCGGUGACAAACCGGAGGAAGGUGGGGAUGACGUCAAAUCAUCAUGCCCCUUAUGACCUGGGCUACACACGUGCUACAAUGGAUGGUACAACGAGUUGCGAACUCGCGAGAGUAAGCUAAUCUCUUAAAGCCAUUCUCAGUUCGGAUUGUAGGCUGCAACUCGCCUACAUGAAGUCGGAAUCGCUAGUAAUCGCGGAUCAGCAUGCCGCGGUGAAUACGUUCCCGGGCCUUGUACACACCGCCCGUCACACCAUGAGAGUUUGUAACACCCAAAGUCGGUGGGGUAACCUUUUAGGAACCAGCCG
rnacentral:rRNA from 2 species